rnacentral:rRNA from 1 species
UACGUAGGGGGCAAGCGUUGUCCGGAUUUAUUGGGCGUAAAGAGCGUGUAGGCGGCUUGGUAGGUCCGCUGUGAAAACUCGAGGCUCAACCUCGAGAUGUCGGCGGAAACCACUUGGCUAGAGUCCGGAAGAGGAGAGUGGAAUUCCCGGUGUAGCGGUGAAAUGCGCAGAUAUCGGGAAGAACACCUAUGGCGAAGGCAGCUCUCUGGGGACGGUACUGGACGCUGAGACGCGAAAGCGUGGGGAGGCAAACAGG